GCGCAUGCGCAAACACGGCGAACAGUGGUAAAGCGGAAAAUCCAAGAUGGCGGACUAAGCGACGUGGCUGUCCGGAGAAGUUUCACAUUUACGAUCUUAUAGAUUCAAAAAGAGCAUCAAAUACUUCAACUAUUCACAUUUUUUGAGCCCAUUAAACGGACUUUGAGUGUGGAGCGACGGAGUGUUACCUGAAGUGAAGAUUGAAGACGUGAUAGAAGAUGGACGACUACUGCUAUGCUAAGAUGGUGACGUCAUGUCAAAGAGAAAGUGAAAGAGAAUCAGCGCCACCAACGGAGAACAAUCUGAAAAGCGAAGAUGAAGACGUCCAGCAGCUGAUCGGUAAUCCAGAAGGUUGCCCUCAGUCAGGCACUUUGAAGCAGGAGACUCCACAACCACCCUGCAUUAAAAAUGAAGAGGAGGAACUCUGGAUAACUCAGGAGGAAGAGUGUCUUCUAGGACAAGAAGAAGCUGAUCACACCAAGUUGCCACUGACUGUUGUCUUUGUGAAGACUGAAGAUGAUGUGGAGAAACCACAAGUAGACAACCUCUUAGCUCCACUAUCAGAUAGUGAGGCUGAAGACGAGGUUGAAGUACCUUUGAGCAGCGAUACAGACUGUGAAGGUGAUAUGAGGACUCACGCUGACAACAAACACUCUGAAUGCUCUUCACAGAAGAGAGGUAAAACAUGUUUGAGCUGCUCAGUUUGUGGCAAAAGCUUUUCUGUUAAGAGGAGUUUGACUCAACACAUGAGAAGACACACAGGUGAAAAAACAUGUAUUUGUUCAGUUUGUGGCAAAAGCUUUUUUGGUAAGAGUAAUUUGACUCAGCACGUGAAAACACACACAGGUGAAAAACCAUUUAUGUGUUCAGUUUGUGGCAAAAGCUUUACUGUUAAGAGGAAUUUGACUGAACACGGGAGAACACACACAGGAGAAAAACCAUAUAGUUGUUCAGUUUGUGACAAAAGCUUCUUUGGUAAAAAUAGUUUGACUCAACACAUGAGAACGCACACAGGAGAAAAACCAUUGAAGUGUUCAGUAUGUGGCAAACGUUUUUCUCGAAAUAGCCAUUUGACGCAACACAUGAGAACACACACAGGCGAAAAAAAAUUUAACUGUGUGAUUUGUGGUAAAAAUUAUUCCGUUAAGAGGAAUUUGACUGAACACAUGAGAACACACACAGGAGAAAAAACAUUUAAUUGUUCAGUUUGUGGCAAAAGCUAUUCUACUAAGAGGAGUUUGACUGACCACAUGAGAACGCACACAGGAGAAAAACCAUUUAUUUGUUCAGUUUGUGGAAAAAGCUAUUCUUUUAGGAGCAAUUUGACUGAACACAUGAGAACACACACAGGUGAAAAACCAUUCAAGUGUUCAGUUUGUGGCAAAGACUUUUCUGUUAAGAGGAAUUUGACGGAACACAUGAGAACACACACUGCACUAAGACCAUUUAAUUGUUCAGUUUGUGGCAAAAGCUUCCCUCAAAGCAGCUCCUUGUGUCGACACAUGAGAACACACGCCGGAGAAAAAACAUUUAGUUGUUCAUUGUGCUGUAAAAGUUUCCCACAAAAAGCAGACGCAGUAAAACACAUGAGAACACACAAGGGAAAAUAAGCAAUUAGCUGUUUAGUUUGUGGUAUGUUGCUCAUAUGUGGUGAUAUCCACACUACCCAGGACCUCCUCUCUGCUUCUUUCACAAAUAUCUGAGGUAUUCAUACAAAGUUGGAUUAUUUGGAGCAUAAUCUUAUCCACUCAUGACCUCAUGUCUUCUCUGUAUCUGAAACCUUCCUGAACAGUAAGAUAGAUGAUGCUUCAAGUGCUUGGUUACUCCUUCUUCAGUCCAGGGACCCCUCCAGCCAACGUAAAAGAGGAGUAAAAUAAUCAAUCAGUAACCCCACUUCAAAUGCAGCAUGAGACACUGCACACUGAUAUAGUUCUGUGAAAAUGAUUGUCUUCUGUGCAAAUGUAAAGAAAGUGAACAGUGUGUGAUUUACUGCAAUACUGUCACUCUUUCUACUUUUUAUUUGUGCUUUGUUGAAAUUGUUCACACAUUGCACUGCUUUUAUUUUUCUGUCAAUACACAUUAUGUCUAGAAGACAGGAAGUAACUCAACACUCUUGAAUAGUUUCUACCUCAGUGUGUAUGGUUUGUUGAGUUAGCACAGGAUUAAUAUGUGGAAAUGACAAGUGAGGUAGUUGAUACAUAGAAUAGUUUUUAUUCAUGCUUUAUUUUGUUUUUGUUCAAGCCUAGAUGGGCUUUGACUCAUUGUGUUCGUCAAUGUGUUUUUGAAACUGCACCUUCUUUUCCUCUAAAUGUUCAACUAACUUGAAUUGUUUUGUCAAGAGGAUUAUUUGUGAUGUGUACAUUUUCGGAAUGUGCUUGUUUUUUUGGGGGGGGGCCGAAGUAAAACAAAGAAAACCAUCUAAAGAUGUCGUCGUUGUAAUUUUAAGUUACAUUACUUUGCCAAAAGUAUUUGGCCACCCAUCCAAAUGAUCAGAAACAGGUGUUCUUAUCCCUUGGAUCAGCCACAGGUGUAUAAAUUCAAGCACUUAGGCAUGGAGACUGUUUCUGCAAACACUUUGUGAAAUAAUGGGCCGCUCUCAGGAGCUCAGUGAUUUCCAGCGUGGAACAGUCAUAGGAUGCAAAAAAUCCAGUAGUGAAAUAUUCCAACGUGAAAUGUCAGCUUUAUUAUAAGAAAAUGGAAGAGUUUGGGAACAACAGCAACUCAGCCACAAAGUGGUAGGCCACGUAAACUGUUGUCUCUGUGAAGACUGAAAAUGAAGAAGAGAAACCACAAUUAGACAACCUCUUAGCUCCACUAUCAGAUAGUGAGGCUGAAGACGAGGUUGAAGAACCUUUGAGCAGCGAUACAGACUGUGAAGGUGAUAUGAGGACUCACACUGACAACAAACACUCUGAAUGCUCUACAAAAAAGAGAGACCUGCAGCCGGAAGAACUUCCCUCUCAGCCCCACUUGGGGAGCUCCUCUUUGAAGCAGGAGGCGCCAAAGCUCCCCCAUAUCAAAAAGGAGGAAGAGGAACUCUGGAUUACUCAGGAAGAAGAGUGUCUUCUAGGACGAGAGGAAGCUGAUUACACCAAGUUGCCACUGACUGUUGUCUCUGUGAAGACUGAAGAUGAUGAAGGGAAACCCCAAAAAGACAACCACUUAAUAACUCCACUAUCAGAUAGUGAGGCUGAAGACGAGGUUGAAGUAACUUUAAGCAGUGAAACAGACUGUGAAGGUGAUGUGAGGACUCACACUGACAACAAACACUCUGAUUGCUCUAAAGAGAAGACUGAUAAAGAAUGUUUAAGCUGCCCAGUUUGUGCGAAAAACUUUAGUCAGAAGAGCAAUUUGACUCAACACAUGAGAACGCACACAGGCGAAAAACCAUACAUGUGCUCAGUUUGUGGUAAAAGCUUUUCUCAUAAAAGGUACAUACCUGAACACAUGAGAACACACACAGGAGAAAAAACAUUUAAUUGCUCAGUUUGUGCUAAAAGUUUCACUCAAAAGUGCAAUUUGUAUCAACACAUGAGGACACACACUAGAGAAAAAACAUUUACUUGCCCAGUUUGUGGUAAAAGCUUCUCUCAAAAACGGUACAUUCCCGAACACAUGAGAACGCACACCGGAGAAAAACCAUUUGGUUGUUCGGUUUGCGAUAAAAGAUUUUCUAAAAAGAGCCAUUUGACCGAACACAUGAUCACACACACGGCAGAACAAAAACUGUGUUGCUCAGUUUGUGGGAAAAUAUUUUUUACCAGAAGAGGUUGGAGUCGACACAUGCUGAAUCACACCAGAGAAAAACCUUUCAGUUGUUCAGUUUGUGGUAAAAGAUACGUUACAAAUUCAAAUAUGGUAAGACACAUGAGAACACAUACAGACUAAAAACAUCUAGUUGUUCAGUAGUGGUGAAAUAUUCACUCAGAAGUCUAUAAUAGUAGCUUUACUCAUAAAUCAAAUAUCGAAACACUCAAAGUAAAAGAUUUUCAGCCUAACAAAGUUUGACUCAACACAUUAUUUACGUUGUGGUAAAGUAUUUUCCAACAAGGCAGCAAUAUUUGCACACACAGCAGAGAACAACAUUUUAAAUGCUCGUGAAGAUAUUUGUUUAAAAAAAACGAAUGCUAGCACACGUGCAGACAAUAAAGUGGAUUAAAAAUUCCUCUCCA